rnacentral:rRNA from 1 species
UACGGAGGGUGCAAGCGUUGUCCGGAAUUACUGGGCGUAAAGCGCACGUAGGCGGCUUUGUAAGUUAGAGGUGAAAGCCCGGGGCUCAACUCCGGAAUUGCCUUUAAGACUGCAUCGCUAGAAUUGUGGAGAGGUAAGUGGAAUUCCGAGUGUAGAGGUGAAAUUCGUAGAUAUUCGGAAGAACACCAGUGGCGAAGGCGACUUACUGGACACAUAUUGACGCUGAGGUGCGAAAGCGUGGGGAGCAAGCAGG